UGGCGUCUUUGUAGGAUUCAUCACAGGCUGUGGGCAGCAUCUCACUGAUCCAUUCUUCCAGCUCCUCAAGGUCUCGGUAGAAUUGUUUUAGGUUGGCAUAGUCUCCAAGCUUUGUCCGCUCAUCAAUCAGUUGUGCUUUGAGAGCCUUCCACCUGUCUAGUACACGUUGGAGCCGCGUAGCAAUCUCUUCUUUGGCAUAGUGUUCAUCAGCAAUGAGGCUCUCAGCAAAAUGUUCUAGGUCAGUGAUCUUCCCUUCCUGGGCAGUGAUUGCUUUGUCCAAAUCGUCCCGUUUCUUCAUCAAAGCCUCCAGACUGUCUAAGGAACUUUUGUCAUCUG
rnacentral:lncRNA from 1 species